rnacentral:rRNA from 1 species
CAAUAGCGUAUAUUAAAGUUGUUGCAGUUAAAAAAGCUCGUAGUUGGACUUCUGAUGUGAAAGAUCGGUCCACCGCAAGGUGAGCACUGAUUCUUCGCGUCUUCCUCUCGUAGUUGUUUCGCGCACUUAGUUGGGUGCGAGAUGAAUAUGGGACCUUUUACUUUGAAAAAAUUAAGAGUGUUCAAAGCAGGCAAUCGCUUGAAUACAUUAGCAUGGAAUAAUAGAAUAGGACUUUGGUUCUAUUUUGUUUGGUUUCUAGGACCGAGGUAAUGAUUAAUAGGGAUAUUUGGGGGCAUUCGGUAUUAACCGGUCAGAGGUGGAAUUCUUGGAUUCGGUUACGACGAACUACUAGCGAAAGCAUUUGCCAAGGAUGUUUUCAUUGAUUCAAGACGAAAGUUAGGGGAUCGAAGACGAUUAGAUACCAU